CGCACAGUAAACGAUGAAUACUAACUGUUUGCGAUAUACAGCAAGUGGUAAAGCGAAAGCGUUAAGUAUUCCACCUGGGGAGUACGCCGGCAACGGUGAAACUCAAAGGAAUUGACGGGGGCCCGCACAAGCGGAGGAACAUGUGGUUUAAUUCGAUGAUACGCGAGGAACCUUACCCGGGCUUGAAUUGCAUUUGAAUAUAGCGGAAACGUUAUAGCCAGCAAUGGCAAAUGUGAAGGUGC
rnacentral:rRNA from 1 species